rnacentral:rRNA from 1 species
UGGGGAAUAUUGCACAAUGGGCGAAAGCCUGAUGCAGCAACGCCGCGUGAGUGAAGAAGGUUUUCGGAUCGUAAAAACUCUGUCUUUUGGGGCGAACGUGAGUAUGGUGAACAAUCAUAGUCAGUGACGGUACCAAAGGAGGAAGCCACGGCUAACUACGUGCCAGCAGCCGCGGUAAUACGUAGGUGGCAAGCGUUGUCCGGAAUUAUUGGGCGUAAAGAGCGCGUAGGCGGGAUAGUCAGUCUGUUGUAAAAGUGCGGGGCUCAACCCCGUGAUGGCAAUGGAAACAGCUAUUCUUGAGUGCAGGAGAGGAAAGGUGGAAUUCCCAGUGUAGCGGUGAAAUGCGUAGAUAUUGGGAGGAACACCAGUGGCGAAGGCGACUUUCUGGACUGUGUCUGACGCUGAGGCGCGAAAGCCAGGGGAGCGAACGGGAUUAGAUACCCGUA